UUGAUAUUGAACAGAGUGGGAUCCUCUGAGAAUGGGCUCCCAGUGCAGGGGGAAAGCUCUCAAUGGGUUCUGUGCUAGAAAAUCACUAUCUGGAGGGUGGUCUCUGUUAACCCCUCUGGUGGGAGAAAUAUUUGUUCUCAUCUUUGCUUGUCAUUAAGGACUGUCAAGCAGGAAUGGACUACAUUUCCCAGCAGCCCCUACAUGACUGCUAAUGAACACCUGUCAGUGGAAGUAACAUCACAUCAUUUCAGGGCCGUGUCUUUCCUCACAGGACACAUUGGGUCGUGACUCUUGGAUUUACUAAUAACUUUUAAGUGCGGCCCAGUAUGAGAGGCUGUGGGAGAGGGAGGAAGGGGUGCUGGCUAUGGUCAUGCUGUGCCUACUAACCCACAAGAGACCAGCCAACAAGAGACCAGCCAACAAGAGACCAGCCAACAAGAGACCAGUAGAGUAGCAGCUACAACAGCAGCAGUGGGGUAACUGGCACCCACAGGAGUCUGUCAGAUUUCUUUGCCUCCACCGAAAGACUCUUUAUACAGUCACAGUCGGCAGAAAAGAUUAUGGAAAGCUUGAACACAUUUCUGGGGGUUUUAGGGUCAGGUUUUAUGCGUUAUUACAGUUUUUCUAAUGAAGGUGAAUUGCCCUUUAAGUCACAGUUUCCCUAAGAGACCUUCCCCAAGUACUAGGACCCAGUGUGUAAGAGAGUGAAUUGUGUUGUGGGUGGGUGAAAGAGUUCAAAUGUUGUUUGUGAAUUAUGUGAUGUUAAUGAGAGUUUGUAUGUAAAACUGUGUAAAUGGUUAUUUAAAAAGGCCACUAGGUGGCAGUAGAGUGUUAUAGUUAGAAGCAAUUUUGUUUUUCUACCACUAGAGGGAGUUUCCCCAAAUAGGUAUAAAAGGGCAGCCACACCCAUAGUUGAAGGCUUUUGAUGGGAGGAGGUGAAGUCAUUGAAGAGCUUCACUGAGAAGAAGAACACCGGGCCGGAAUCAGGUAGUUAAUUAGAUAGGAAGUUUCAGUAACAGCUGGCACUAGGUGUCAGAGAUAGGGAGAAAGAAAGGGUAGUCUUUUGCCCCAACAAGGGGCGUAGUCAGAUUAGGAUCCAGGGGAAUAAUUCCCAAGAUAGGGUGACAGUGAUGAGGUUGGUAGGCAAGAGAGGGGGGAAGUAGAAGACUUCAAGUCAAGGUGGCUGGUACCCGCCGGAGUGGUCAAGGGGCACUGGUCGAGUGCCGGAUGAUCAAAGCGGGGGACUGGUGGAAUGGUGAAGGGGUGUAGUGGUGCACCGGAUCAUAUGCAAAUUAGGAUUCAGAUUCGGUUAUGCCGGGCAGAAGGAUUCGGCCGAAUCCUGCUGAA